UGUGCUUUUCCGAUAUGGCUCUUGCUUGUUUGAACCCAAGAGCCCGAAUGAAGCCACUAGGACUUUGUUUCCCUCUCCAUCUCUUGGUCUGGCCGUCUCGGUCAUUGUGACAGUGACAACCUCAGGUCUCUUCCCUAGCUCUCCCAGAAUAGCUCUGGGGGGACCUUAGUUAUCCUGACUUAGAUCACAAGCUCGUCCAUGAAACGCAGUUGCUGACCAGGAGAGUGAUGGGCUACUUCAGUCAGGCCAUGUGCCUGCACCUCUGGUCUGACAUCAGAGUGGAGAGGAUGUAGCUUUGCCUGGCCUGUGCCAUAUGCAUUACAGGAAACAGAGCCUCUGUUAGAAGGAAGAGGAAGGUAUUCUGAGAAGAAGGGGAGACCACAGAUGUCCAUGGAACCCAUGAUGUCCACUUCCUGUCUAGUCAUACCCUUGACCAUUUGAGUAGUACCCUGUGGUGCCAGCUUGAUCAUAAAUGCAAUCUUAGAAGUCAUGUGGCCUUAGUUAUGAGAUGAUCACAUAUACAAGGUGUAGAACAUUGAUUCAUGUGUGUGUGUGUUUGUGUGUAUUUUGGUUUUUGGAUUAUCAUUUACAUUGGGAGUGGGCACUAUAUCCUCGUGGGCCAGAUGCACCCUGUAGCCUGUUUUCUGAUCAAUCACACAGAUUUGUGUAGUAUUGUCUGGGACUACUUCCUCUCUACAAUGGCAGAGCUGGGUAGUUCCACCAGGGACCUUAGGGCUCGCAAAGCCUGAAAUCUUUGCUAUCUGACCUCUCACUGAAAAGUUUGCCACCCCCUGCUCUAAAUGGAAACACAUCCUUUUAAAACUCUUCCAGUGAUGAUCUUACUGGUCCCUGAGAACACAUCGGGACACUCCUGGGGGUUCCCUGACAUUCGCUGGGGCUUACACAUGGAAGAUAACAAUUGUUAGGAGUUAAAACUCCGAGUCAGACUGACAGAUGUAAAAUUGUACUGACUUCCCUUUCUCUGAGACGGCACUGCAGUGAGCCCUCCCCGGUGAUGUUUGGUAGAGCUUGGCAAGUGUGUGGCCUGUUUGGACCAGGGUAAGUGACUAGAUGGUGUAGACACCACACCCGUCUGAUCGUUGACGGGCAGUGUCCUAACUCGUCCUGGAUCCUGAGUGCGGUUGCUGAGCAGUGGGUUUUCCAGCAACAGUACCUCUUUGUGUGCAGGUGCUGCCAGCCCCUGCCGCGCGGCCCGGCAGUCCCGUUGGGCAUGCAGGAAACGCCUGCUGCUGCAUCUCAGAGUGGCUGCCGCUGGGAUGCUCGAGGAGGGUGUUGUGAACCUGGCCCCCCCCCCCCCCCGCCUCUGUCUCCGCAAGCCUGGGUUUCCCACCAGUUGUUGCCCAGCUGUCUGUGCUUUGUUACAUUGUUUCAGGCUCCCUGUGCUCUGUGAGUGUUUUGCUUGACCUCCCCCUGGGUACUAGACUGGCUUUAGCUGGGCCCUAAGCAGCUGUUUGGUAUUCUUCUGGUAUCCGUUUUCUCCUGUGGUUGGCCGGCUGGUCCUAAUUUUCUGCGAUUGAGGUUUUUGACACCUGCAAAGUGACUCUGUAUCGCUGCUUGGUUGUUGACAGCCUUGAUGCUUUUUUGUUCUUUGGGUGCCCCAGGGGGCACCCUUGAUAAAAUGUGUUCACUAAUGCGCAGCAGUGAUAGGAGAGUUUUUCUUAUUGGCAAGGAAAAAGGCCGGAUGUUUCUGCUUUGACCUGGAUUGUCAUCUUGCACACUCUUCCAGAGCCUCCAGUUGUCACAUGGUUGCAGUUUGGGUGCAGUACUCCUCAGGUAGAAAAAUUGGUGUCAGGCCCAGGACUGCCUACUGCAGGAUUAUAUCCUAUUCCACUUUUCAGGAGUGUUGUUAACUUGCGCUGCUAGAAGUGUAAGUUUUACAAAAACAGUCUUACCUGGCUUUGCAAAAUUUGUGCCUCAAAGAUUGGUUUGCAGGUUUAAAAUGAUAGCUAGAUUAAUCCUUAUUGAGUGAAAAAUGCUGCCUUUGAUAGUAUUUUCAAUAGUGAAUUUGAAGAAUAACUCCUUUUGCCUGCAUAUGAAAUGAACUUGUGAGGCCUAGUAAAUAAAUGGAAUAACAUUUUAGCGACCAGCUUCCUGUUCUACUUAAGAACAACACCAAAAAAAAAAACCCUGUUAAUUUGAUUUUCAAAAGGGGCCUAUUGAAAAUUCUUAAUUCGUAAGCCAGAGAAUUAAACGGUUUCUGUGAAAGACAAGUAGAAGGGUUUUGACCUGGAGCUAGUGAAAUCAGUUGACAAAAAAUUAGGCUAGAAGAGACACAUGAAAUCGAACAUACAUUGUAAUACUUGUUUAAAGGGUAGCAUAAUAUUCUAAGAGUGGGGAGUGUUCAAUUCUAAUGUUAAACUUGAUGAGUUGAUAUAUAAUAUAUACGCACGUAUGUGCAAUUCUCUACUUGCCAUAAGCCAAAGAAGAAACAAUCAAUUUACAAAUAACACAGAGGCAGUAAAUUUGUUGGCAGCGGUGCUAGGCCUGUUGUAAUUCUGUAGUUUUUUUCACUUUUCAAGUAGUGAAUUGCUGAUGUUGCUCUGAGCCAAAAAUAUGGUGAUAUGUGAACGUGUCCAGGCAGCACUUACAUUAUGUACAGCUUGGAGGUAUUUUGCUAUCAGUGAAAGACUUUAUGGGAGUGAUAGGAAAAUCUGUGCUGUUGAAAUCAUGUCCAUAGAAUCAGUGUUUAUAUUGAAGUUACCCUCCCAGCUCACACUGCAGAUUUAAAGGUUUUGCUUGGCGCUGUGUGAUCAGUGGAGACACAGUUCUCCUCUGGCAGGGGCUCACAUCUGAAGCUAGACAUCUUAUUGGCUCUGCUCUGAUCACAUUGAUCAUUUUGAGCCAUCGUCAAGGAGAACGUGCCUUCCAACCUGGAUGCCCUGUUUUCCCCUGCGAAGUUCAAAGUACAUCACAGUCUCUCUCUUAGUUCCUCUUCUUUCGAUCUGACUGUCAUAGUGCGUGUCUUUGUCUUGGGUCCUUGCAGUGAUGCUUCUGUCUUUUCUAGGCAGCCCCGUAUUUCCAUCUCAAGUCAUUUCCAGCUCACCUUUUUGGUACUUAAAUCAA